rnacentral:lncRNA from 1 species
UUUUUUUUUUUUUUCAACUAUUUUUCAUGGAGAAAACCUCAGCUAUUCUUUCAAAGCAGAAAUAAAACCGAGGUGGUAAACAUUAAAUCAGCUCUAUAGAGUAUACCUUCCCUUCUAAAUUAGUUAAGAGGAUAUGACACUGAGGCUUAAUGAUCAAACAGCCCUGGAGGCCAGUCCUCUCACUCUGCUGAUUCUGGUUGAGCUCUGACACUAUCAAGGGACUCUCCCUCUCAGCUACAGCCCCAACUCCUUCACGUUAGAGUGUCAAUCUGGUUAGAAAUAAAACAUUUGGGAGUUUCCUGGUGGUCUAGCUAGCAGUUAAGGAUCCUGUGUUGUUACUGCUGUGGUGUGAGUUUGAUCCCUGGCCAGGGGAUUUCUGUUUGCCACAGAGAGGGAAGAAGGAGGGGGGAGGGGAGGGAGAAAGGGAGAAAGAGAGAAAGUAUAGAAGGAAGGGAGGAAGAAGGAAAAAAAAAAAAAAAACACUCAAAGAAAGGGAAUAACAAGUUUUUUCUUACACAUAAGGAAUACUGCAAAUUCCCCAAGCUACAUACUCUGGCAGGUUCCUGAAAGGGUACAACCCACAACUUCUCCCUCCCUACACCAGCCCUGCCCUGGGAAUGACCCCCUACCCACCCAGAGGGUGCUGAAAUAUAGCCAAAACUGGAGUUUCUUUUCUCCCAAAGACCAACUGCCAAAAACAACUGCCAUGAGACCUUUGGGCUCCAAAAUUCCAACUACUAUGGCCUCAAAGCCAGCAACCUACUAAAGUUUUUCUACAGAAGACUUAUUAAUCUUUACUCAAUUCAGCACCAAUGAGAUUAGGCAGUAAGGCCCCAAAAGGCUUCGUUCCACAUCCACCCAUGUCCUAAAAUGCCAACACCGAUGGCCAAGAGGUGCAGGGCUGCCUUUGUCAUCCUUCUCUGCUCCAGGAGCAGCUGGCUUCAGGUUACACAUUGUUCCUUGCCCACCAGUGGGUUUUCUAAAACUCUUGCCCAAGUUCUUAUAGGCGUAGGUCUACUGCUACUUGACAUGCUGGCUCUGGUACAUAGUGCACAGAGGCAAAUGCUUUGGUUUGCUCCACAUCCUGAAAUCUAACAUCUGAGAGAACCCAAGGGCUCCCUAGGGGAUACUUUUGGGUGCUACUCACUGCCUGGCCCUCCUGUCCACUAUGGCUUAGGCAGGUCUAACUCCAGGGAAGCCACCCUCAUGAGGAAUGCCCCCCACCCUCUCGUGAACUCGGGGACCUCUGUGCCUGCAGCCACCACUCAGGACCACUCAGUGCCAUGUAUGACCAAGUGCUCUACGUGCAUCUCACACUCUUUGGCUUCCCCUUUGGGGUAUAGACUGAGAAUAUUACCUUCAGAAAUAUCAUUCACUUUGGGACAGGGAAAAGGGAAUGUAUUUUGUUCAAUUUGAAUACUUGUUUAAUCUAGAUUCUGGACAUCAGACAUAAAGAUGUUGUUAAAGGUCCUUAACUAAGCACCACAUGUUUCACGAAAACAUCUAACCAGAAGCUCCAGAGCACCUCAGAUCACAGGAAUUCAAUAAAUAUCAUGCUGGGAUGACAUCAGGAGGGCAACCUGACUGCCUUCCUCCUAUGGGCAAUUUAACCACUUGCUCACAUUAAUGCUCAAUCCCUGUAACAGCUAGUGACAAGCACUGAUGUACAACAGUGAAAGUGGAUCAGAUCUUUGCCAUCAUGAAGAGUGUGGCUCCAGAAGAGGAAGCUAUCAAAAAUCAGACAGUGAACAAAACUUGUAUCCUUUUUACUGCAACCCAACUGGAUAGAGUAGCGUUUGGGGUGGGUGAAGGCAGGAAAAUCUGUUUACCUCAUUUUUCAGUCAUCUAGAUAAUUCUGAGAAGAAAGCAGAAAAUCUACAGACAACGUAAUCAUUACUUAAGCUCCUCUCCCACUGAACCCUCAAGCUGUUUAUAAAUGGACAUACUGCAAGAGUUUAAUUUCACCAAAAUUCCCGCUCACCUUGUAUUCUGGGUGUUAAAAGAGCAGUGAAAUGGGAGUUCCCUGAUGGCCUAGUGGCUAAAGGAUUUGGCAUUGUCACUGCUGUGGCUGGGGUCUGAUCACUGGCCUGGGAACUUCCGCAUGUCUCAGGUGCGGCAAAAAAGGAAAAAGGGAGGGAGAUAAUAAAAUGGCUAAACAGCUAAGGGGAAAGAUUCAUGGGAUUCAAAUAAACAACAAAACUGGGUAACCUAGCCUCAAGGGAGGAUUAUUCCUUGUAGAUAUUUCAACCAGGCCAGGGGCUGGACUCCCUGGGCAAAGCGAGUGCAGAGGAGCGAAGUGAGAGCCACAAGCUCCCAUGUGCCAAAUUCCUGACAUCAAGACCUGGAGGAUUUGGCCAAGAACCAUAAGAAUUGGAGCAGGAAGAGCAGCACCGGGGCAGGAGAAAUGGACAAAUGGUGCCAUGCUUAGGGCUGGAGGAAGUGUCUUUCCGAAGAGCUUUGAGAUAUGACUUACAUACCCUGAGAGUCAUCUGUUUUUAAGUGCACAAUUCAGUGAUUUUUAGUAAAUUUACCAAGCUACGCGACCAUGGCCACAGCACAGUUUUGGAAGAGUUGCUCUAAUCUAAGGGGAGGUUUUUAAUAACUUCCAGAUCUGAGUGCGACAGUUUUAGUCAGGGUUACCAGGCUGAUGAACAGAAGGCCGUGCUUCAGCCAACGCAGCAGCAUGACUGACACUUGGAGCAGCCACGGAAAGGAAGCCACAGCCAUCUUCCUCCACAUGAAAAGCUGGGCUUCACCUGUGAGACCUGGAAACUCAUACUAUUUUCUUAAAAAGUAACUAAUGCUAAGAACAGUGCUUUCCAUACUAAAAGGAAGAAUCCGUUACCCUGUUUACAUUUCCUGGCACCUGCCCACAACCUCUCAGCAGUGCUGGUGCACAACUCUCUGCUCCCAGUGGCAGAUUUGGAGUACUGGAGCUGAGGACUCAAAAACACUCCAGUUAAACCUUGAAACAUGCAUUGUCCCUUUGUCCUGACAGCUGUUAUGCUAUGUCGGUGUAAAGAACCAGAUCAUGAAUCUCAAAUCUAAUAAUUUUCCAAAUCACUGCUCAAACAAAAGAAAUGAAAUUUAUGGGAAAAGAUGCUCUGGACUCUAAAACAUAAAUGCAUAGGCAUCUUAAAGCCAUGUUACCCAUGGGAUUAUAGGGUUUUACAUCCUAUAACAUUUUGAGAUUGAUGUUAGCCAACAGUUGUCAAUUUUUCUCCCUAUGUAGAUGUGAGCAAAAGCAGCAAUAAAGGGUCAGUGGUGUCAGAAAAUCAGAAAAGGGUAGUGGACUGAAGAUCUAUAGCAUCCCCACAUACACGACUGACUGCCUAGAAGUGUGCCCCCUGCCCUGAGUCCGUUCUGUGGCCCUCACCUUCAGGGCUCUAGGAUGUCCAUGUCCUCCUAUGGACAGCCUGGCUUGGAGAGGGAGCAAUAUGACUAAUAGCAACCUAAAGCCACUCUGACAAAGGACAAAGGACUAGACAUCGGACUCUCCUCUCCUGGUUUCUUCCAGAUGGUGCUCUGGCUUCUGCCACCCUGAUGGCAUGUCUGUCCUUGGCCCUCCUUCUGUUUCAUUCUCCAUCUUCUUUCUAACGCUGCCCAGGCAUCUCCAUCAGAGUAUGUUGGGGCACCUGCAAGUCACGUUAAUCAGAAAUGAGCUCUUCAGGCGUUCCCGCUGUGGCGCAGUGGUUAACGAAUCUGACUAGGAACCAUGAGGUUGCAGGUUCGAUCUCUGGCCUCACUCAGUGGGUUAAGGAUCCGGCGUUGCCGUGAGCUGUGGUGUAGGUUGCAGACGCAGCUCAGAUCCCGCGUGGCUGGGGCUGUGGGUGUAGGCUGGCAGCUACAGCUCUGAUUGGACCCCUAGCCUGGGAACCUCCAUAUGCCGCAGGAGCAGCCCUAGAAAUGGCACAAAGACAAAAAAAAAAAAAAAAAAGAAAAAAAAAAAAAAAAAAAAAAAAAAAAAGAAAGAAAGAAAAGAAAAGAAAUGAGCUCUUCACAUGCUCUCCCAAACUUGUUCCUUGUCCUGAAUCGCAACCCAAGUAAAACUGCUACCCACUCAAGCCAGAGUCCCAGGGGUUGGCCUCCACAUCUGCCCUAUUUCCCACUUUCUUCUCAUUGCCCCCAAAAUGGGAGGUAGGGACUACACUGUGCAGAGCUGCAGGGAACACAAAACAUACAGAUAUGCUGCCACCUGUUCUCCCAAAAUCUCUCUCCACACAGCCCCUCCUUUCCAACCUCAUUGCCCUGAACUUCAUUAUCUCUACUGGACUCUACCUAGAUCUCCUCAAUGGAGAUGCUGCCUCAAAGGUGGUGUUUUUUAUUUUUUCUGGUAAAAACAAAAACAAAAAACCAGAUAGAUAGAUAGAUAGAUAGAUAGAUAGAUAGAUAGAUAGAUAGAUAGAUAGAUAGAUAGAUAGAUAGAUAUAGAAAGAAAGAAAAAAAAACAAACGUCAUUUUUAUGUGAGUGGUAAUUCAGUGGCAUUAAGUACAUUCACAAUGCUAUAUAACAAUCACCACUACCCAUCUCCAAAACUUUUCCCCAAUAUAAACUCUGUUCUUGUUAAAUAAUAAUGUCCCAAGUCCCCCUUACCUGUCUCCCCUGCUAAUCUCUAUUCUACUUUCUGUGUCUAUGAAUUUGCCUAUGCUAGGUAACUUAUAAAAGUGGAAUCACAUAAUAUUUGCCCUUUUGUGUCUGGCCUCUCACUUAGCAUCAUGUUUUCAAAGUUUACUGACAUUGUAACAUUUCUUUUCAUGACUGAAUAAUAUUCCACUGCAUGUAUAUGUUCCUCAGUAGACACCUGGGUUGUGUCAACCUUUUGGUUACUGUCAAUAAUGCUGCCAUGAACAUGGGUGUUUGAGUUUGUAGACCCUGUCUCAGGUUUGAAACUCUAAUUCAUAUACUGCAUUUCUUCCAAAGUGAGCUUUCUAAACAAAUUCAAUCACUAUCUCCCCCCGCCGCCGUUUACACAUUCUGAAAGACACCAUUUCACUGACAGACUAAAUUCUUCGGCUGUUGGCAGCACCUGCUUUGCCUCCGUCCUCCUCACUGCCUGCCUGCCGACAAACCCUCCACAGUUCGCCACAUCUCACUUUACUACCUACAACAUGCUCCCCCCCCCCACCAUGAACACCAUGAGUCCCCCUGGUCUUCUCUGAAGCAAAGUGAACAGCAGCUAUGAACCGAUUUCACCCACCUAGUGGGACUUCAGUUUCACAACUCCUCUGCGCCUUCUCUAUACAACUCUGGCCCUUUCUUCUCUAGGUACAGACCUUUCCUCUGUUCCCCAGCUCCUCCCACUAGACUAUGCUCCUGGAAGGGAGCAAGGGUCUCUUAAUCAGGUUUCUAUCCCUAACAUUUAGCAGAGUGCCAGACCCACAACAGACAUUCAGAUCUCUAUGGAAUUUUUUUUUUUUUUUUUUUUUUUUUUUUUGGCUGCACCUGGGGCAAUCAGUUUCUGGGCCAGAGACAGAAUUCGAACCACAGCUGUGACCUACACCACGGCUGCAGCAAUGCUGAAUUCUUUAACCCACUGUGCAGGCUGAGGAUCUCACUCGACCUGAGCCACUGCCGUCAGAUUCUUAACCCACUACACCACAGUGGGAACUCCUCUAUGGAAUGAAUUUUUGAUUUAUGAGUAUGCUCAAGAUAAGUUGUAUUUUUAAAAAGCAGUAGAAAUACUUGUGAGUUCAAUAUUUUAUUUUUAAAACCACAUAUAAGUUGUGUUGCUAACUUCCAAUCUUACAACAUAUUAAUUCCCCAAGAAAGGAGCAAUAAAUAACCACAUUUUCCCCCAAAAGUUUCUCACUUCAAACAUGCCUGAGCCCUCAUGUGUUACACUUCUGAAGGAAUACACCUCCUUAAAGCCAAAGGGCUACUUGUAACCAAGAAAAGCAUAAGAUUUAUACAAAGAAUAGGCAAAGGAUCUAUACAAACCAAUGAGAAACAGACACCCAAUGAAAAAUGAGCAAAAUAUCUGACUAGGUAUUUUACAAAAGAAGACGUUCAAACUGCCAAAAAGCAUCCAAACAGGUGCCCAAUGUCAUUACUUGUCAAUAAAAUGUCAAUCUGAACCACAAUGAGAAACUACUGCAAACCCAUCACAAUGACUAACAGCCAGACACUGUUAGAGUGUAAACUGUACAACAACUUUGGAAAACUAUUAAGUAGUAGCUCUUGAAGAUGAAUAUACAUCUACCAGAAAACUCAGAAAUUCUACUCUUGAGGAAUAUAUCCAAAAGAAAUGAAUGUCAAUGCUGGCCAAAAGACAAGUACGAGAACGUUUAUAGCAUUUUACACACACACACACACACACACACACACACACACACACACACACACAGCAUUAUAGUUCAUAAUACUCCAAGAUGCAAACAACCCAAAUAACCAAAAAUAGCAUAAUGAAAAAUAAGAUACAGCAAUGGAAUACUAUGCAGCAGUAAAAACAAAUAGCUACUGCAGCUUGCAGCAACAUGGAUGAAAUGCACAGAUCAAUGUUGAAGCAGAAGGCAUAGUGACACAAAAGAGAGCACAGUGCCUGGCUCCAUUUACAUAAAGGUCAAGCACAAACACAAUUCAAAUCUGCAGUGUGGAGAAUGACGGCUGGGGGUGUGGUGGAAGUGUUACUGUGUGGGAAGGGGCAAGAAGGAGCCUCUGGGGUCUUGAUCUGGAUGGUGUCACACGCUGUGCUAGACAGUGCUGCAUCAGCUUAGCCAAGCUGGGAACUGUGUUUCCCAGGUCCUCUGAGUGCUGAGUUACAACUGGCUAAAAACAACUCAAGUGAGGUGUGGAAGGUGGGCUUGAAGCAGUGGCCACUCCGCUUCAAAGGUCUCAGCAGUUAGAUGUGAUGGACAGAGAGCGACGUCAGUGGAGUCAAGCUUGUCCCUGCUCUUCCCUAUGCCCCACCCUGCUCUCCCUCCCCACUGCCAACCCUGCUGACCCUCAACAGCCCAGACCCACCAUCAGACCCUUGAUGGACCUGACUGGAAGCAGCUCUCCAAGAGAUCUGACCUGUCCAUCCACACUGAUGCUUCAGGCAGACUGCUGCGUGACUCCUCCUUGACAUCCAACCCCUGAUCUGGACCUUCGCUGCUCCAGCUGUUCCCCACAAUUGGGAAAGGUCUAAUUUCUGUAAUAAAUCCCUUAUCCCCCAGCCGAACUCUGUUGGAUAUAUAGAGAUGUUUACAUGUAUACAUGAGUUGUAUAUUUAAGAUCUGUGCACUUUAAAAACAUACAUAAUAUCAUAAUUUUUUUAAAAAUCAUAAUUUUUUUAAAAAAAAAAAAAAAAAAAAAAAAAAAACCCAAAAAACAAAAAAUGGCAUCUCUUCCAGGUUUUAAGAGAACAGUAAUGUGAGGGGCACCUAGCAGCACACACCAAUGGAGCCUAUGCUAUGCCCCUCACACCAAGGAAGAACCAGACACAGUACCACUUGACUAAAGCCUGGCAGACACCUGGGAGCCCAGUGCCUGGGCCCAGGGAGUGGGUUUAUGGACAACAAAGAGGACAUGUGCUCCCUGCCUGGCAAGCUGUUCCAUAGUCCGGAGCUCCUGAAGGGUCAGGCUCACCAUAGUCAGUGUACUUGAAUGCAGGUGAGUUUGGAGUCUCAAAUGGGCAGAAAGGGACCUGGGGGGAGGGCAGAGAUGAGUCACAGGUGCAGCCUGUGGAUGGAGAACCUGCACUCUGGUGGUGCUGCAGCGGUCUCAGGUGCAGACACUCCUCCGCACCCAGGUACCUCCACAACAGUCAGUGCAUAUCUGGGCAUCCCCAAAGCAGCGGUCUUCCAGAAGACCACCGUGUCUUGCUACCUUUUUACUCCAUUCAGCAAAUCAUUUACUGAACGUGUGGUAUAUAUGUCAGGCCCUGCACUUAGCGCUGAAUUUAUGCUGGCGAAUAAAAACACAGUAACUACCCUUGUCUGGUGGAGGAUAUAGACAAUAAACAAAUGAGCAAACAAGCAUACACAGCUGACCUUUGAACAACGCAGGUCUGGACUGUGUGGGUCCACUCACACACAACGUUUUUGAAUAGUAAAUACUACAGUGCUACACGUCCUGUGGUCAGUCGAAUCCACAGAUACCAAAGAACCAUGGAUCAGAGGAGGGAUAACUAUAAACCAUACGUGUUGUUCAAGGGUCAACUGUAAUUACAAA